GAUGAACGCUGGCGGCGUGCCUAAUACAUGCAAGUCGAGCGAACGGACGAGAAGCUUGCUUCUCUGAUGUUAGCGGCGGACGGGUGAGUAACACGUGGAUAACCUACCUAUAAGACUGGGAUAACUUCGGGAAACCGGAGCUAAUACCGGAUGAUAUUUUGAACCGCAUGGUUCAAAAGUGAAAGACGGUCUUGCUGUCACUUAUAGAUGGAUCCGCGCUGCAUUAGCUAGUUGGUAAGGUAACGGCUUACCAAGGCAACGAUGCAUAGCCGACCUGAGAGGGUGACCGGCCACACGGGAACUGAGACACGGUCCAGACUCCUACGGGAGGCAGCAGGAGGGAAUCUUCCGCAAUGGGCGAAAGCCUGACGGAGCAACGCCGCGGGAGUGAUGAAGGUCUUCGGAUCUUAAAACUCUGUUAUUAGGGAAGAACAUAUGUGUAAGUAACUGUGCACAUCUUGACGGUACCUAAUCAGAAAGCCACGGCUAACUACGUG
rnacentral:rRNA from 1 species